GGCAUAAAAUGUUUAACAAGACCCUGCUCACACUCGUAGGGCUGAGAAUCAGAGCACAGUGAGGAAGAGGAGCAAGGAAGCACUGGGACCGCAGAGCUCCUUCCAGCCUACAGUAGGGCCCAGAGGGCGCCCUCGCCUCGAGGCGGGAGCAGCGAGUCCCCGGCGAGUCUCCAGCCCUGCGCCAGCGCAGGUGGGCGAGGCGGGGCUGGUGGGCGGGGCCUAGAAAGGCGGGGCCUCUGGGGGCGGCCCCAGGGCGGGCCCCGCGGGGGCCAGGGCUGCAGGCGCAGCUCCCCAGCGCCUAGAGCGCCGCACGGGGCGGGAGGUUGGCGGACGAGGAGCGGCAGGGCAUCUUCCUGCGCCUCCGGGCCAGACGCCCACUCCAGGGACAAGGGGAGUCAGAGGCAGAAGAGAAGGUGCCGUGAUGACAGAAGCAGAGAUCUGAGUGAUUUACGUUGAAGAUGGAGGAAGAGGCCACAUGCCAAGACAGGGUCUCCUUGUUGCCCAGGCUCAGCUCAGACUCCUGGCUCAAAUGAUCAUCCUAUCUCAGCCUCCCAUAUAGCUGGGAUUACAGGUGCGUGCCACCAUGCCCAGCUCUACUAAAUAAGUAUCAAGCACCUAAAGAUAUAAUCAUACAUCCUCUUUCAAAAUAUGGUGUAAUAGAUUAUACUGAUAGACUUCCUGGU
rnacentral:lncRNA from 13 species